CGCACGGUGAGUAACACGUAUCCAACCUGCCGUCUACUCUUGGACAGCCUUCUGAAAGGAAGAUUAAUACAAGAUGGCAUCAUGAGUUCACAUGUUCACAUGAUUAAAGGUAUUCCGGUAGACGAUGGGGAUGCGUUCCAUUAGAUAGUAGGCGGGGUAACGGCCCACCUAGUCUUCGAUGGAUAGGGGUUCUGAGAGGAAGGUCCCCCACAUUGGAACUGAGACACGGUCCAA
rnacentral:rRNA from 1 species